rnacentral:rRNA from 1 species
GACGAACGCUGGCGGCGUGCUUAACACAUGCAAGUCGAACGAAGUGGCGAACGGGUGAGUAAUACGUGGGUAACCUGCCCUCCUUUUUGGGAUAAGCCUUGGAAACGGGGUCUAAUACCGAAUAAAGGGGGAUGGGCUCGCGGCCUAUCGGCUUGUUGGUGGGGUGAUGGCCUACCAAGGCGGUGACGGGAAGCCGGCCUGAGAGGGUGACCGGCCCGAUUGGGACUUAGAUACGGCCAAGGCUCCUACGGGAGAAAGCAGUGGGGGAUAGUGCGCAAUGGGCGAAAGCCUGAUGCAGGGACGCCGCGUGGGGGAUGAAGGCUUUCGGGUUGUAAACCUCUUUCGCUUCGAACCGGGUAGGUAGAGAAGAAGCGCCGGCUAACUACGUGCCAGCAGCCGCGGUAAUAC